CUCAUGUCAUCAUCCAAUCAGUGAAGACUUACCCCGGAAAGAAACAACACCCCACCACCGUGUGUUUUUGCUGUAAAAUGAAAUGAAUUGAAACUUCUCUAAAAAUUGUAAAUGUAAGUUUAACUAUCGUCAAGCCGAUUUGUUACAUUGUUUUCGGUGUGUAUCAUUUUCGGGAAUUUCUUUGAAGAGUCUAAGAUGGGGUAUAUGCAGGUAGAGGAGCACAAUUCCAACAUGUUGCAUCUGAAAAGGUCACCUGGCAUCCGCUCCUGGUCGCUGCUUGUAGGUAUUGCGUCCAUUGGCCUGGCUGCUGCGUACUACACUUCAGACAGUAUCCUGUGGAAGCUGUUCUACGUGACGGGCUGUCUGUUCGUGGCCAUGCAGAACAUGGAGGAGUGGGAGGAGGCAGUGUUUGAUAAAACCAAGAAUGUGAUCGAGCUGAAGACCUUCAGUCUGUACACUCUGAUUCUCACCAUGUGGAGGAGAGGCCAGGAGAAAGUGGUGCUGGACAUGAGGCACCUGCGUGCCGUGUGUGUUCAGGAGGAGAAGGUGCGCUACCUGGGGAAGGGUUACCUGCUGGUGCUGCGACUGACAACAGGUUUCUCCUACCCCCUCACACAGAGCGCCACCAUGGGGGGACGCAGUGAUGUGGAGGCGGUGGCUUCGUUGCUCAAGCGUUUCCUGGGUCUGGAGGAGCUCCAGUGUCGCUGGGAACAGGAGGAAGAGGAGGAAGAGGAGGAAGAUGACCUGGACCCCAGCACUGACUCAGAAGAAGAGGGGGACUUUGAACCUUCAGUGCAGUAGUGAUGAGGAGAGGAAGCCUCUGUAGACUUGAAAUGCACACAAACAUAUUUUACAUUAGUAUUAUCCCUGAUACUGUAAAUGGCCUUAAAUACUCUCUUGAGUGGCCGUUUUCCACAGAAGAUUUAAACUAAAUCAUAGUUUGGUGUCUGGCCUGUUCUGAAAAAAACAAUGAUCAUUACUGUAUAGUAUCUGCAUUACACACCUAUCUUUAUAGUUACAGUGCCUUUUAUUUAAAUGUAAUCAGUAUUUGUGUGGAAAAACUCAUUCAAACAUGCCAACAGGAUAGGCAACACAUUGGUGUGUUUGAGACCACCCAAGUGAGAAUGUUUUGUGCGUGACUCUGCUCACUAUAACCAUCCAUCUGAAUGCAUGUGACUGUAAACUAUAAUCAAGCAUGAAGGAUUUCCAGGGAUCAGUUAAGAAUAUUUCUGAAUGUUAAUACUUGCAUGUUCAUGUGUCUGUCAGCAUUCAUAGGUCUUAGUGCCGAACAGAAUCCGGGAAGGCAAAACCUCUUGAAAGGACUUAAUCGAACAUGGUUUAAUAUUCAUAGAGAACGCUACAGAUUGUCUCAGGAUGCACUCCUCAGACGUGUGGCCGAGCCGUCACAGACAACUCAGUGAGCAGGGAGGAGGCCAUGGCCCUCAGUUCAGAAUCCCUCGCCUCCUAUCUCUCUCUCUGUCACUUAUCUACUCCUUUAGGUUGGCAGAGAGGGGGCUGGCUCAGAUGGAGGGGGCUGGCUCAGAUGGAGGGCUUCCAUCCUGGACCUGCACUCUGGGGCUCUGUCGAUGGGGAAGCAGUUUGUCAACAUCUACAGGUACUUUGGGGAGCAGAUAAUGGAUGUUUUCUCUGAAAAGGAAACCCGACUCUACAGGGAGGGGCGUGGUCAUAUCCAGGCAGUGGUAGCAGAGACGUUUGACCUGGACCCGUCUCUUCUGUACCUCACCAAGCCCACCGUCUUCUCACGCAUCAACAGCACACUGGCCAAGACACAGCAUGACGAGCACUGGCACCCUCGCAUAGACAAAGAAAAUAUUAUAGAAGGUUUUAUACAUAUUAUACACACACACACACACACACACACACUUCUGCGUUAUCCUGUGUCAUGAAUUACCUUUUAGUUUUGAAGUCAAGAAGUAUUCAAGCCUCAUAGCAUCCCACAAUGCAAUGAAGGCCCCUUUUUCUAUUUCACACAACAGCUGACACUCUGGCUGUAGCAAGACUCUUCUAAACCAAAGGCAAACUUCCUCCUAGCUGUGUUUAAAUAUCCCCUUUAAUAUAUAU